GGGGAAAUGAAUCCAAGAUCGUGUGCCUAACACACACAUUCGCAAGUUCGCCCCUAUGGAAUGCAAUUCUCUCCCCCAACUAAACAAUGCAGUGUCCUCAAUGCUAACAGAGACGAAAAACAAUACAAAGAGAAACAAACAACGCAAAAAAUAAAAGAAAAAAUAAAUAAACAAAUAAACAACACAAGAAAUAAACAAAGAAAAUAAAUAGAUAAAUAAACAAAGGAAAGC